rnacentral:tRNA from 1 species
GGCUGGAUGGCAGAUUGGCUAUGCAUCGGAUUGCAAAUCCGCGUAAAACGGUUCAAUUCCGUUUCCAGCCUC